UGUUGACUACGUUUGUCGAUAUCCAUUUAUCGUUAAGUGAUUACUGCCGGUGUCUGAACAUUUCGGCAAGAUUAUUACUAAAGACCGAAAACCCACGAGAUAAGUAAGGUCUGCCUUAUCUAACUAUAGGUUUUAAAAAAGCUAAGUAUUGUCAUUACUGCAUAACUUUUUUUUAAAAUGGAUGAUGAUAAUGAUUUAAUAAUGCAAUUAUUUGCUAUCGAAGAGUUGGAACAAAGAGAACUUGACGGAGAAGUAACUAGGCGAACUUAUGAGCCUAUUAAUCCUUUUAAAUAAGAUUCACAAAUACAAGCAAGAUUUUUAAACAAUUUGUAGAAGAAAUGGAACGUAACAGUAAUAAGAAAUUGUUCAACGAAUGAUGAUGUAAAUUAAGUAUAAACAAUAAAAAAGGCAAUCGGUAAAUAUACAUCGUAAUGAAUAAUGAUAUUGUAUUUCAUCAAUUCUGAAAUUUACACAAUCACGUAAUAACAAGAAAAAGAUAGGUUAUUUUCCUUUUUCUUUUACCGAUACUAAAACAAAUUUAAAAAAAAAAUCUUAACAAAUGAGAAUAAUAUAAAAGAUAUAUUUUACUAUACUUAACAAAUUAGUACAUUUUUAACUUAUAAAAUAUAUAUUCUCUAUGAGUUUCUUUUAAAAAUUCAAAACCGUACCACACUAUUGUCUAAAACAGGCCGAUAGUAAAUUAAUAUAAUAAACAUUUUACCCUCCAAAGUAAACUAGUAAAAAAAAAAAAAA